CCUACGGGAGGCAGCAGUGAGGAAUAUUGGUCAAUGGACGAGAGUCUGAACCAGCCAAGUCGCGUGAAGGAUGACUGCCCUCUGGGUGGUAAACUUCUUUUAUCAUGGCGUAAAACGAGGCACGGUUUCAUUUUGCACUGGCGAACUUCAUUCCAGCAGCCGCGGUAAUACGAAGGCUGCGGGCGUUAUACGGAGUUACUGGGCGUAAAGGGAGUGUAGAUGGGUUUGUAAGAUAGUUGUGAAAUGUUGGGGCUCAACCGCGGAAGUGCAAUUGUGACUGUGAAUCUAGAGUACUGUUGAGGUAGGCGGAAUACCCGGUGUAGAGGUGAAAUGCGUAGAUAUUGCGAAGAACACCGAUGGCGAAGGCAGCUUACUAACCUGUGACUGACAUUGAUGCUCGAAAGUAUGGGUAUCAAACAGGAUUAGAUACCCUUGUAGUC
rnacentral:rRNA from 1 species